rnacentral:rRNA from 1 species
CAGGCUGNAACCCGCCUGCAUGAAGUCGGAAUUGCUAGUAAUCGCGGAUCAGCAUGCCGCGGUGAAUACGUUCCCGGGCCUUGUACACACCGCCCGUCACACCAUGGGAGCCGGUAAUACCCGAAGUCGGUAGUCUAACCGCAAGGAGGACGCCGCCGAAGGUGGGGUUGAUGAUUAGGGUUAAGUCGUAACAAGGUAUC